AGAGUUUGAUCCUGGCUCAGGAUGAACGCUAGCGACAGGCCUAACACAUGCAAGUCGAGGGGCAACGGGGCGUAGCAAUACGCUGCCGGCGACCGGCGGAUGGGUGAGUAACGCGUAUGCAACCUGCCUUCAGCAGGGGGAUAGCCCGUUGAAAGACGGAUUAAUACCCCAUAACACAGGGGCUCCGCAUGGAGAUUAUUGUUAAAGGGAUACUUCCUUCGGGGGGUAUUCCGGCUGAAGAUGGGCAUGCGUUCCAUUAGGUAGUUGGUUGAGGUAACGGCUCACCAAGCCUACGAUGGAUAGGGGAACUGAGAGGUUGGUCCCCCACACUGGUACUGAGACACGGACCAGACUCCUACGGGAGGCAGCAGUGAGGAAUUUUGGUCAAUGGACGCAAGUCUGAACCAGCCAUGUCGCGUGAAGGAGGACGGCCCUAAGGGUUGUAAACUUCUUUUGCAGUGGAAUAAAGUUUGCCACGUGUUGGCGAUUUGCAAGUACGCUGCGAAUAAGGAUCGGCUAACUCCGUGCCAGCCGCCGCGGUAAUAC
rnacentral:rRNA from 1 species